UACGAAGGGGGCUAGCGCUGCUCGGAAUUACUGGGCGUAAAGGGCGCGUAGGCGGGCUGUCAAGCCAGGGGUGAAAUCUUUCGGCUCAACCGGAAAACUGCCUUUGAUACUGACAGCCUUGAGGAAGGUAGGGGCAUGUGGAACUUCCGGUGGAGCGGUGAAAUGCGUAGAUAUCGGAAGGAACACCGGUGGCGAAAGCGACGUGCUGGACCUUUUCUGACGCUGAGGCGCGAAAGCCAGGGGAGCAAACGGG
rnacentral:rRNA from 1 species